CGCAGGCGGUUGUGCAAGACAGAUGUGAAAUCCCCGGGCUUAACCUGGGAAUGGCAUUUGUGACUGCACGGCUAGAGUGUGUCAGAGGGGGGUAGAAUUCCACGUGUAGCAGUGAAAUGCGUAGAUAUGUGGAGGAAUACCGAUGGCGAAGGCAGCCCCCUGGGAUAACACUGACGCUCAUGCACGAAAGCGUGGGGAGCAAACAGGAUUAGACUACCCUGGUAGUCCACGCCCUAAACGAUGUCAACUAGUUGUCGGGUCUUAAUUGACUUGGUAACGCAGCUAACGCGUGAAGUUGACCGCCUGGGGAGUACGGUCGCAAGAUUAAA
rnacentral:rRNA from 1 species